UUUUGUUAUAUUAAGUUGUUGGAAUGAUGGUAAGUUGUUGUAUGUGAUUAUUGUUGCUUGAUGUGUUGUUUGUCAUAUUUGAAGAUAAUGAUAGUGAGAGAGAGAGAAUCAUCAGGGUCAGAAGUUUAUAAAAGCACUUACCAAGAUCAAUCUUGGGGGCUAGCUCAUUCUUCACCAAGUUCGGAAUCUCAUUUUCUGCCCCAUUCUCGACAUCCAGUUCAUAGCUCUGCACAAAUCUCAAGUUCUCUGCAAGCUCUCUCUUCACUAAGCUCAUCUAGCUCAAGUUCUGCAUAACUUCUCAGCCUCCUCCACCAAACUCCAUCCUCUGCAUCAGGUUCAUAGAAC
rnacentral:lncRNA from 1 species